ensembl:lncRNA
UGAAUACAACAGGUGUAGUAGACCUUACUGUGAAAUGCUGAAUACAACAGGUGUAGUAGACCUUACAGUGAAAUGCUGAAUACAACAGGUGAAGUAGACCUUACAGUGAAAUGCUGAAUACAACAGGUGUAGUAGACCUUACAGUGAAAUGCUGACUACAACAGGUGUAGUAGACUUGAAUACAACAGGUGUAGUAGACCUUAGUGAAAUGCUGAAUACAACAGGUGUAGGUAGACCUUACAGUGAAAUGCUGAAUACAACAGGUGUAGGUAGACCUUACAGUGAAAUGCUGAAUACAACAGGUGUAGGUAGACCUUACAGUGAAA